CUGUGACUUUGACUUGACUUGACAUUUGACUUGAGUUUAUUUUAUAAUUUCCUUUUUUUCUUAAUGGUCAUUCUAUAAACUUAUAAUACACUAAGGGGUAAUACUUCAAUGUGAUAGUCCACAUUAGACAUUUUGCUAACUAUAACAGGGUCUUAAAGGGUUACGCAGGGUCUUAAAAG